rnacentral:rRNA from 1 species
UAGGGUGCAAGCGUUAAUCGGAAUUACUGGGCGUAAAGCGCGCGCAGGCGGUGAUGUAAGACAGAUGUGAAAUCCCCGGGCUCAACCUGGGAACUGCAUUUGUGACUGCAUCGCUGGAGUGCGGCAGAGGGGGAUGGAAUUCCGCGUGUAGCAGUGAAAUGCGUAGAUAUGCGGAGGAACACCGAUGGCGAAGGCAAUCCCCUGGGCCUGCACUGACGCUCAUGCACGAAAGCGUGGGGAGCAAACAGG